UUUUAUUGCAAGGGUUGUGCAGGGAUUUUAAACUGACUGACUGUUUUAAAACCCUGCAUCCAAGAGAGGAGGGCUUCACCUGGACCAGUGGUGAUGGCACCAGAGCCUCUCGCAUUGACUAUCUGUUUACCCGGGACUGUCCCCCAACUGAUGCUAGAAUAACCCCUGCUUUCUUCUCAGAUCACGGGAAGUGAUCCACCCGGACCAAACCUGUGCCAUUCCCGGAAGGAAGAUCACAGACAGCCUGGUACUGAUCAGAGAUGCCAUCUGUUAUGCGAGAGACAGAAACAUGCAGCUUGUAGUCCUAAAUUUAGAUUUCGAAAAAGCUUUUGAUCAGAUCUCGCACCAGUACCUCUUCAAGGUACUGCAAAAAUGGGCUUCCCGGACAGGUUCUUAGCUUGGGUGAGACUGCUGAAUGGGGAUAUCACCAGCAAAAUCCAAUGGGCAUUUGUCAAAAGCAGUGGGAGUACACUGCGGCGUCCGUCAGGACUGUUCGUUAUCUCCUCUUCUGUUUAUGGCCUGCAUCAAACCACUGGCACAGGUCUUGCAAAGGGACCAACGGAUCAGUGGGGACCCUGAACAGGACUGACUGAUAUGGACGAGACAAGACAGAAGCCCAAUUCUUCGGACCGUGGGCAGACCCAGAUUUGACCAGACUACCAAUGACAGUUAAAAUGACUGACGUAAGGGUACUGGGGGUAAAGUUUGACAGGAAGGGAGGAGGAAGCGGCAACUGGAGUGGGAUCCUGGCGACUGUGCGACAGAGACUGGGUUUUUGGGGACUUCAACAGCUGACUUAUGAGGGCAACGUUUUAAUCAUUAAAGCUGUGAUUUUACCUGUGUUUUUAUUAAUCAGUUCUGUUUUUAUCCCCCCACGAACAACUCUUUUAGGUUUGGAGAAGAUGCUUUUUUACUUCCUGUGGGGAAGCAAGUGGGAGAGGCUGAGGAGGGAGGUGGUCAAGAGGCCCAGGUCCAAGGGGGGGAAAGGCUUGCCUGACCUCUACUUGUUCCUGGGCAGCCACUACACAGCGCUACAUCUCACUCUUGCUACCUCCAACAACAAGACCCAGGCCCUCGCGCCGUUCUGGCUGGGAUCUUACCUCCGGACUUUGAGGCUGAUCCCAGUCGACCUGCAAGACCCGGUCUCUUUCCUGCUCUCCACACACUAUGUCCAGCUCUAGAAGUUUUUAAGACAUUUUAAACUGGAAAAAGAGGCAGUUACGGUUUUAACUAAACACCGCUCUCUUCUCUCUCUUGUGCAGGAGCGGGAACCAGUGUGUCCAGUGAGCAGGCUUGCUACAGGUGAGCCCACAAUGGUUUGGCACAACGUGGCCCAUCCUGCUCUGCUGAAUCGGCACCGGGACCUGUCCUAGAUGGCCGCCCACGAGAUCCUCCCUGUCAGGGCCAUUAUGCACUCCCGGGGCAUGGCGAGGACAUCCGCGUGCCCCCGACCAAGCUGCGGCCAAGAUGAGUCGUGAGGCACUUGAUCUGGGAGUGCAGAGCCACCAGGGACCUGUGGAAGGAGGCAGGCCCCCUGAUCUCCCUGUAUCUGCCAGCAGGGGAGGACCUAACGCCCAGCUCGUGCUGUAUGGGGUGGGCCGAAGGCCUAAUCCACCAAAGGCCUUCACUAAGCUCUGGCCCACCCUCACAUGUCUUGUCCUUCCUCAACCUGCUGGUAGCAGAACAAGUAGAGACCACCCCCCAGGCUGUGGCCAUGGUAGCCACGGAAGCCCUGGUGUGGUACAGAAGAAGGGGGGCCUCGACCCCAGACAAAAGGCCCCCCACUACACCCAAGGUCCCGGUGGCCACGGCUUGAAAGCGCUGCGGCGCCUAGGGCGAUGCCCCUAGGAGAGUGAUCUCCUCUGGGCCCUGAAGGACAGGACGGUUAUUGAUUCAGAAGAGCAGGAGGAGGACACACCCCAUUCCUGUACAAAGGACCGAAGACAGCUUUUAAACAGAGUGACUUUUUAACACAUUUUCAUGUCUUAAAAAUGUUUUACUUUUGUAAAAUCAUCUGCACACAUUUUAAAUGGCUUUUACAGAUUGGAUGUUUACAAGAAAAAGUUAUUUUAUUCAUAGUGGUUUCUACUGUUUUUAAAUAAGCAACAUGUACUUUUUAACAAAUUUAAAUGUAAUAUUCAAAUGCUGUUUUUAUGCUUUUAUGCUGUUUAUAUGUGUAUAAAUGUACAAAUAUAAAUUAGCUGUUUGUAAAGGAAAUGUAAUAAUAAAACUUUUCCAAAAUAAAAAAAAUUAAGGAAGU